GACCGCGUAGCGCAGCUGGCAGAGCAUUGGGCUAGUAUUCCAAAGGUCGUAGGUUCGAUUCCAACCGUGGCCA